UACAGAGGGUGCGAGCGUUGUUCGGAAUUAUUGGGCGUAAAGGGCGCGUAGGCGGUGCCACAAGUCACUUGUGAAAUCUCCGGGCUUAACUCGGAGCCUGCAGGCGAAACUGUGGUGCUGGAGUGUGGGAGAGGUGCGUGGAAUUCCCGGUGUAGCGGUGGAAAUGACGUAGAUAUCGGGAGGAACACCUGUGGCGAAAGCGGCGCACUGGACCAUAACUGACGCUGGAGGCGCGAAAGCUAGGGGAGCAAACAGG
rnacentral:rRNA from 1 species